rnacentral:tRNA from 1 species
GGGGUUGUGGCUCAGUGGCAGACUGUUUGCCUAGCAUGCAUGAGGCACUGGGUUCAUCCCCAGCACCACA